AUGGCUCGCCUGGACUCAGAGAGUGAAACCAGCCCCAGCAUCUUCCCGCUGAGCCUUGGGAACGACGACCCAGCCGGGCAGGUGGUCAUCGGCUGCCUGGUCCAGGGCUUCUUCCCGUCGACACCCCUGAGCGUGACCUGGAACCAGAAUGGCGACAACGUGUCCGUCAGGAACUUCCCCGCCGUGCUGGCCGGGAGCCUGUACACCAUGAGCAGCCAGCUGACCUUGCCGGCCAGCCUGUGCCCAAAAGACCAGUCCGUGACCUGCGAAGUGCAGCACCUCUCCAAAGCCAGCAAGACUGUGGCCGUGCCCUGCAAAUGUAAAGUGCCAUGUCCUGAGGAGUGUCUCCCAUUUAACUGCGAGCCCAGCCUGUCCCUGCAGCCACCAGCCCUCGAGGAUCUGCUCCUGGGCUCCAACGCCAGCCUCACAUGCACACUGAGUGGCCUGAAAAGCACCGAGGGCGCCAGCUUCACCUGGAACCCGACAGGUGGGAAGACCGCCGUCCAGGGGUCGCCCAAGCGUGACUCCUGCGGCUGCUACAGCGUGUCCAGCGUCCUGCCGGGCUGUGCCAAUCCCUGGAACAGCGGACAGACUUUCUCCUGCUCUGCCACCCACCCUGAGUCCAAGAGCUCACUGACCGCCACCAUCAAGAAAGACAUAGGGAACACAUUCCGGCCUCAGGUCCACCUGCUGCCGCCGCCGUCGGAGGAGCUGGCCCUCAACGAGCUGGUGACGCUGACGUGCCUGGUGCGGGGAUUCAGCCCCAAGGAGGUGCUGGUGCGCUGGCUGCAGGGCAAUCAAGAGCUGCCCCGCGAGAAGUAUCUGACCUGGGGCCCCCUGCCUGAGGCUGGCCAGAGCGUCACCACCUUCGCCGUGACCAGCGUGCUACGCGUGGACGCCGAGGUCUGGAAGCAGGGGGACAACUUCUCCUGCAUGGUGGGCCACGAGGCCCUGCCCCUGGCCUUCACCCAGAAGACCAUCGACCGCCUGGCGGGAGAACCCCUGACGGAACAGAAAGGGGCCACCCCAGCCCCAGGCACGGCUCUCCCCACCCCACACCCCACUGCUCUGCACGUGUACUCAGGGGUGCGCGCGCACACGCAGACAGGCUCUCAUCUCAGGGACCCACUGCAGAAGCCCAGCACCUGCUCCCUGCUUGGCCUCCAGAUUCAAGUCUCCCAUCCCUUCCUGAGCCCAAGUGUGGCCCACACCAUGGACAGUAUGGGCCAAGGUGGGCUGGAGACCCCUGCCAAUGCUGGCCAUUGCCCCCCUCUCAAGAGUCAGUCCCCAAGGGUAAUGGAUGAAGCAAUGGGGAAGUACUGCCCCAGAGAAGGUGGACCAGCUGCCUAG